AAUAAAGUGCCUGAAAAAGGAUUAUUCUGAUAGGAUAAAUCAUAUAGUAAUUACUAUCUUUAUUA
rnacentral:tRNA from 1 species